CAGAUAUGCCAGUGACUGUUAAGGAGAACAGGUCUGGUUUACAGUAUGGGCACAUAAGAGGCAGGAAGUGACUCCAAGAAAAGCUUCUGUUUAUAGCAUAAUCGGAGCUUCGUCAGGGGAUGAAAAAGGGCCAGAAGACCCAAAGCCUACAGUAAGACAAAGAUGUAAUCUAUGCAGCCUGAUGACCAGGACACAGACAUCUCAGCACACUUCAGCUGGGAGAGAUGCCCAUGACCAUGGACCAGGAGCCACUCCUGAUGCCAGGUUGCAUCCUAGGACCUCAGAAAUGAGGCACACUCUGGAGAGACCUAAAUAGGUGGAAGGAAUCAUGAACUGCUUCAUUUUUAACCUAAAAAUGAUGGAGUUUUCUCAGAAAUAACUAAGAUUCUGUUUUCUGCCAUUUGGGGGAAAUGGGGUUUAACAAAGAGGUUGAGUAAUAGAAAAAUAGUUACCUUUUCUUUGCACACCUGAGUUCAUACCUGCUACACUAGUCACCCAUGUGAGAUGCAGUGUUAGGUGUUUCUCGGGAAUCUGUAAAGUGCUCUACGUGGGGGCUGAGGCCAACUUCAGGGGCACAAAACAUCACUAUGUUUUGUGAUAUGACACAUGACAUCACCCUGACCAAGUUUUUGUUUUCACUACAGUUUUUUUUUUUUUUUUCCUGCUCACAACUGUCACCAAGAAAAAGCCUGCUAGAAAGGCAGAUGGCAGAACUUUCGAAUACAAAAAGAGUAGUUCCCUGGGCAGUUGCAACAGAAUUGGAGAUGCUGGUGGAGGAGAUGAGGCACGAGGAUGUGAAGGUCUCAACAGUGAUGCAGGAGAUAGCAGCACAGAAGAUGUAGAAUCAGUUUAAGAAGAGAGAAGACAUUGACGUCCUGGGCCCAGAGAUCAGUAUCCAUUGAUCAGGUUUAUAACAAAGCUCAGGAAAUGCUAAAGCUUAAAGGAGAAUUGAGAGGUACCCAGCAAAUGAAAGAUGAGG